rnacentral:rRNA from 1 species
UACAUGGGGUGCAAACGUUGCUCGGAAUUAUUGGGCGUAAAGCGCACGUAGGCGGAUCGUUAAGUCGGGGGUGAAAUCCUGGAGCUCAACUCCAGAACUGCCUUCGAUACUGGCGAUCUUGGAGUCCGGGAGAGGUGAGUGGAACUCCGAGUGUAGAGGUGAAAUUCGUAGAUAUUCGGAAGAACACCAGUGGCGAAGGCGGCUCACUGGCCCGGUACUGACGCUGAGGUGCGAAAGCGUGGGGAGCAAACAGG